rnacentral:rRNA from 1 species
CCUACGGGUGGCAGCAGUGAGGAAUAUUGGUCAAUGGACGAAAGUCUGAACCAGCCAAGUCGCGUGCAGGAAGACUGCCCUAUGAGUUGUAAACUUCUUUUGUAUGGGAGUAAAACUGGGUACGUUUAUUCUGUUGAAAGUACCGUACGAAUAAGGAUCGGAUAACUCCGUGCCAGCAGCCGCGGUAAUACGGAGGAUCCAAGCGUUAUCCGGAUUUAUUGGGUUUAAAGGGUGCGUAGGCGGAUUGUUAAGUUAGUGGUGAAAGUUUUGGGGUUAACCCUGAAACUGCCGUUAAAACUGGAGAUCUUGAGUGUAGAUGAGGUAGGCGGAAUGCGUGGUGUAGCGGUGAAAUGCUUAGAGAUCACGCAGAACUCCGAUUGCGAAGGCAGCUUACUGGACUGUAACUGACACUGAUGCUCGAAAGUGUGGGUAUCAAACAGGAUUAGAUACCCGAGUAGUC